rnacentral:ncRNA from 1 species
CCGAAAAUUUUCAAGUAAAGAAAAAUCUAAAUAUAUUUGUCAUCUAACCGAUUUUUAUACACUUGAAUAAUUUUGAACGAAAGGGAAUACGGUUCCAAUUCCGUAACCUGUUGAGUAUCCGUUUGUUAUUAAAUAUGGGCCUCGUGCUCAUCCUGGCAACAGGAACGACCAUAAAGAAGCCGUCGAGAGGUAUCGGAAGAGUUUUCUUUUCUGUUUUAUAGCCGUACUACCAUGGAAGUCUUUCGCAGAGAGAUAUGGUAGAUGGGCUAGAAGAGCAUGACAUAUACUGUUGUGUCGAUAUUUUCUCCUCGGACCUUGAAAAUUUAUGGUGGGGACACGCAAACUUCUCAACAGGCCGUACCAAUAUCCGCAGCUGGUCUCCAAGGUGAAGAGUCUCUAGUCGAUAGAAUAAUGUAGGUAAGGGAAGUCGGCAAAUUAGAUCCGUAACUUCGGGAUAAGGAUUGGCUCUGAAGAUUGAGAUAGUCGGGCUUGAUUGGGAAACAAUAACAUGGUUUAUGUGCUCGUUCUGGGUAAAUAAAGUUUCUAUCAUUUAUGGUAGUUUCUUGUUCCCCGGAUAGUUUAGUUACGUAGCCAAUUGUGGAACUUUCUUGCUAAAAUUUUUAAGAAUACUAGUUGGGCUACCAAUUAGUUCUUUUAUAUUAUAACGAUUAUCAAUUAACAAUCAAUUCAGAACUGGCACGGACUUGGGGAAUCCGACUGUCUAGUUAAAACAAAGCAUUGUGAAGGCCCUAGCGGGUGUUGACACAGUGUGAUUUCUGCCCAGUGCUCUUAAUGUUGAAUGAAAAAAUUCAAGUAAGCGCCGGUCCACGGCCGGAAUAACUAUGACUCUCUCUAACGUAGCCAAAUGCCUCCUCAUCCAAUUAAUGACGCGCAUGAAAUGGGAUAACCAGAUUUCCACUGUCCCUAACCACCUGGCUCUCGCUGGCGAGACAUGGGAGGCCAGU